UCAUCAGGUCUGUACCAGGUUGAUACGGUUUGAUCCGGUUUCAUCUGGUCUGAAUCGGUUUCAUCCGGUUUGAUCCGGUUUCAUCCGGUUUUAUCCGGUAUGAUCCGGUUCCAUCCGGUCUGAACCGGUUUGAUCCGGUCUGAACCGGUUUGAUCCAGUUUCAUCCGGUCUGAACCGGUUUGAUUCGGUUUCAUCCGGUCUGAACCGGUUUGAUACGGUUUGAUCCAGUUUCAUCUGGUCUGAACCGGUUUGAUUCGGUUUCAUCCGGUUUCAUCCGGUAUGAUCCGGUUCCAUCCGGUCUGAACCGGUUUCAUCCGGUCUGAACCGGUCUGAACCGGUUUGAUCCGGUUUCAUCUGGUUUGAACCGGUCAGAACCGGUUUGAUCUAGUUUGAUCCGGUUUGAUCCGGUCUGGUCCGGUUUAGUCUGGUCUGGUAUGAUCCGGUUUAGUCUGGUCUGGUCUGGUCCACUUUGGUCUGAUCUGGUCUGGUCUGGUCUGGUCCGGGUCUGGUCUGGUCUCGUCCGGUUUGGUCUAGUCUGAUCUGGUCUCGUCUGGUCUGGUCUCGUUUGGUCUGAUAUGGUCUCGUCUGGUCUGGUCUGGUUUGGUCUGGUCCGGUUUGGUCUGAUCUGAUCUGGUCUCGUCUGGUCUGGUCCGGUUUGGUCCAGUCUGGUCCGGUUUCGUCUGGUCUGGUCCGGUUUGGUCUGAUAUGGUCUCGUCUGGUCUGGUCAGGUCUAGUCUGGUCCGGUUUGGUCUGGUCAGAUCUGGUUUCGUCUGGUCUGGUCCGAUUUGGUCCGGUCUGGUCCAGUUUAGUCUGGUCUGUUCCGGUUUGGUCUGAUCUGGUCUCAUCUGGUCUGGUCUCGUCUAGUCUGCUCCGAUCUAGCCUGGUCUCGUAUGACCAUUUGAAUUUUGGCCAAAAUUCUAUUGCCAUCCCUAGGAGAAGAAAAGAAGGGGCUGCACUUCAGAAGGUGAGGGUCCUGGGCAUUCUUUAGCCAUCAGGGCAGAACUCCUGAGCAUCCGUGUUCUGAGAAGGACAGAAAAAUCUGGCAGAAGGGAAACAUUGCAUUUCAGGGGGGAUUUUGUGGUUGACUUGUUGGUGGGUUUAAUCCUGGGGCAAGUUACAUCAAUGACUAUUUUCAAACCUAUUGACAGUGGGGUUAGAAACAUUGGUGUCACAAUCUCAUUGGUUUCCUGGGAGGGAGAGAGUGUCCAGUGGAGAUCUGGUGCACAUUUGGAAAGCUGGAAUGUCUGGACCUUCCCUUUAUGGAAGAGUCUAUGUGUCCAGCAUUUAGGGCAUGUGUCAUAGGGUCUGAGUCAGUAAGCUGUCACAACUCUUUCUGCAAUAAAUCAAGAGCCAGUGUCAAAGCUUGAGACUGACACCAAGACGCCUGCAGCCAGAGUUGAAUGGAAGGGGACACAGAUGGACCCUGGGACAGUGACCAUCCUCCAUCCUCCAUGACUCUUAAAAGAGGCAUGUCCAAUACUUAAUUGCUGAUUGUAUUGCUGUGAUAUAGAUGAUUACCCUCCACUUUCUUAAAUUCAGUAAAAUGUGCAAUGCAAACAUGUCACAUGUGGUUAUGACAUUCCGUUUUGUUAGCUUAAUGGUCAGCUAAUGUUUGAACAGAGAUUUCCUAAACUCCUGGAACCAGUAUGUCUCCUACUCUUUGCUGAUGGGCUCUGUGUGUGUAGGAGACACUUUCAACCCUUGGCUGGGCGGUUCACACCUCCACCUUAGCCUUCACUUCAUGUUGUGUAGAUUCUUCAGGCCAGCCAGAGGUGAGAACUUGGGCUCCUCAGGUCUUUUCUGAGCAUGUGCCCAGGCCUGAA
rnacentral:lncRNA from 1 species